AGAUUGAACUAAAGAGUUUGAUCCUGGCUCAGAUUGAACGCUGGCGGCAUGCCUUACACAUGCAAGUCGAACGGCAGCGCGGGAGCUUGCUCCUGGCGGCGAGUGGCGCACGGGUGAGU
rnacentral:rRNA from 1 species